rnacentral:rRNA from 1 species
GACAGAGGUGCCGAGCGUUAGGCGGAAUCACUGGGCUUAAAGCGUGUGUAGGCGGAUCUGUAAGUACCUUGUGAAAUCCCACGGCUCAACCGUGGAACUGCUUGGUAUACUGCGGGUCUUGAGCCACCUAGGGGCAAGUGGAACAAGCGGUGGAGCGGUGAAAUGCGUAGAUAUCGUCUGGAACGCCGAAGGUGAAAACAGCUCGCUGGGGCCGCGCUGACGCUGAGACACGAAAGCCAGGGGAGCGAACGGG